rnacentral:rRNA from 1 species
AAAAACAAACAAGGGCAUACGGGGAAUGCCUAGGCUCUGCAAGGCGAAGAAGGACGUGAUAAGCUGCGAAAAGCCGCGGGGAGGUGCAAAUAACCGAUAAUCCGCGGAUAUCCGAAUGGGGCAACCCACCAUAUAAAUGGUACCUCGAAACGAGGAGCGAACCCUCUGAACUGAAACAUCUAAGUAAGAGGAGGAAGAGAAAACAACAGUGAUACCGCAAGUAGUGGCGAGCGAACGCGGCACAGCCCAAACCGGACACGUUUAGGCGUAUCCGGGGUAGUAGGACUGCGAGAUACAAGUAUAAAAAGAACCGGAACGGCAUGGAAAGGCCGUCCGUAGAAGGUGAAAGACCCGUACGGGCAAUUUUUAUACGCGUUAGCAGUAUCCUGAGUAGGUCGGGGCACGAGAAACCCAGACUGAAACCGGCGGGACCACCCGCCAAGGCUAAACACUCAGCAGAGACCGAUAGUGAACAAGUACCGUGAGGGAAAGGUGAAAAGAACCUUGAAUAAAGGAGUGAAAAAGACCCUGAAACCGUAUGCCUACAAGCGGUCGGAGCCCAUUCAUUGGGUGACGGCGUGCCUUUUGCAUAAUGAUCCUACGAGUUACUGUUACCGGCAAGGUUAAGCGCUUCAGGCGCGUAAGCCGCAGCGAAAGCGAGUCUUAAAAGGGCGAAUUAGUCGGUAGUAGUAGACGCGAAACCUUGUGAUCUACCCAUGGCCAGGUUGAAGUGGGGGUAACACCCCAUGGAGGACCGAAUCGGUAAGCGUUGAAAAGCUUUCGAAUGAGCUGUGGGUAGGGGUGAAAGGCCAAUCAAACUGGGAAAUAGCUCGUACUCCCCGAAAUGCAUUUAGGUGCAGCGUCGCGGUUAAGUGAUAUAUAGGUAGAGCUACUGAUUGAAUGCGGGGGCUUCACCGCCUACCAAUUUCAGACAAACUCCGAAUAGUAUAUCACAUACGCGGCAGUGAGGGCAUGGGUGCUAAGGUCCAUGCCCGAGAGGGAAACAACCCGGACCAACAGCUAAGGUCCCCAAAUAUACGCUAAGUUGAAAAAACGAAGUAGAACUGCACAGACAGCCAGGAAGUUGGCUUGGAAGCAGCCAUUCAUUUAAAGAGUGCGUAACAGCUCACUGGUCGAGCGGUUCUGCAUGGAGAAUAAGCGGGCAUAAGCGUAUUACCGAAGCUAUGGCAGAUAACAAUCUGGGUAGGGGAGCAUUCCGUACAGCGCAGAAUCGGUAUUGUAAAGUACCGUGGAGCGUACGGAAAAGCAAAUGUAGGAAUAAGUAACGAUAAAGCGGGCGAGAAACCCGCUCACCGAAAGACCAAGGGUUCCCCGGCUAUGUUAAUCAGCCGGGGGUCAGUCGGGCCCUAAGGACAAGCCGAAAACAGGCUACUCCGAUGGACAAACGUUUAAUAUUACGUUACUCGUAUCGAGUGCGACGGGGCGACCUGGUAAUACCUCUUCGCGUGCUGACGGAAUAGCACGUUAAAGACUUUACUGGGCCGGGAGGCAAAUCCCCCGGCGGAAAGGUAAAGUUGAUAGUACACCCAAGCUACGGCGACGGUGAUAGCAAGACUAAAGAUCAGCAAGAAAAACCUCUAAGCUUCAGCUCGAUACGACCCGUACCGGAAACCGACACAGGUGGUCGAGAAGAGAAUUCUAAGGUGCUCGAGAGAUUCAUGGUUAAGGAACUAGGCAAAAUAGUCCUGUAACUUCGGGAAAAAGGUCACCGCAGCAAUGCGGUCUCAGAAAAUAGGUCCAGGCGACUGUUUAACAAAAACACAGGACUUUGCAAAAUCGAAAGAUGACGUAUAAGGUCUGACACCUGCCCGGUGCUGGAAGGUUAAGAGGAGAUGUCCGCAGCAAUGCAAAGCAUUGAAUUGAAGCCCCAGUAAACGGCGGCCGUAACUAUAACGGUCCUAAGGUAGCGAAAUUCCUUGUCGGGUA